UCAGAGUACUUUGAAAACCAUUACAUUGAAAAUGUUGCUAUCUUUUGUGUUUGAAGUGGUCUGCUGCCUUUAUUCAGCAGAAGAUCAAAGAUCCCACCCAUGCAUGGUAUCUCAAGGACUGGAGGGGGAAAAAAAGACAGCAAGUGGGAGUGCCCUCAUUUGAGACCGUAUUUGAGUGAGCAUUAAGUAGUGAGUAGCUGAACCUGUAGAGGCUGAAGGGCCUAGAGGCAUUGUGGACAAGGCUCCUUGGCAGCUGAAAGAUGAGCGGUGUGCUAUGAAUCCCACCUUACCUAUAAGAAUGGUACACUUUAAUUGGAGGGUUCUUAUGGUUUCUAUUUUAAGCUU
rnacentral:lncRNA from 1 species